rnacentral:rRNA from 1 species
CAGAGGGGGCAAGCGUUAUUCGGAAUUAUUGGGCGUAAAGGGCGCGUAGGCGGCCUUGCAAGUGACGGGUGAAAUCCCUCGGCUUAACCGAGGAACUGCCUGUCAGACUGCAUGGCUUGAGACCGGGAGAGGUGAGUGGAAUUCCCAGUGUAGCGGUGAAAUGCGUAGAUAUUGGGAGGAACACCAGUGGCGAAGGCGGCUCACUGGACCGGUACUGACCGCUGAGGCGCGAAAGCGUGGGGAGCAAACAGGAUUAGAUACCCUGGUAGUCCACGCCGUAAACGAUGAGUGCUUGGUGUAGCGGGUAUCGACCCCUGCUGUGCCGAAGUCAACACAUUAAGCACUCCGCCUGGGGAGUACGGGUCGCAAGACUG